GUGCUCACUUCAGCAGCGCAUAUAUUAAAAUUGGAAUGAUACAGAGAUUAGCAUGGCCCUUGUGCAAGGAUGCCAUGCCAAUUUGUGAAGAGCUCUAUAUAUUU
ensembl:snRNA U6 U6 spliceosomal RNA